CCGCCCGGCCGGGGAGCGCCGCUUCCGCCCCGCUGGGGAGGACCUCCCCUCCCCCUCCGGAGAGGCGCCGUCCUCGGGCCCGCUCGGGUCCCGCUGGAUUUUAUUUAUUCAUGAGAGACACCAAGAGAGAGGCAGAGACACAGGCAGAGGGAGAAGCAGGCUCCAUGUGGGGAGACAUAGGACUCGAUCCCGGGACUCCAGGAUCACGCCCUGAGCCCAACGCAGAUGCAUAAUUCAGGAAUCGGAUGAGUCUCUGUAGUUUGUUUUGCCCUGAAGAGCAGAAGGCUUCGGUCCCAGCUGGUGUUGCCAAAGCAGCAUACUAAUUCCAUGCCAUGGUCCUGGGUCAAGAUCUGCACAAUCUGAUUGGCCAUAUCACCUCGGAUGGCAAGGGAACGGAAGUGGUCAAAAUCAUGAAGACCCAGCUUCCGGAGACGCCUUGCAGCUGCCCGGUGUCUUAGACCCCAGGGAGGAAAAAAGAGUUCCAAGGGCAUAACCAGUGUUCCUAAUCAGGAAGGUGAGGAACAGAGCAAGCACCAUCUUAUAAAAAUCUGCUUUUCAGACUUGUAUGUACCUAGGGAACUCAGUCAACUCGUUGCUUUUUAAAUAAACAUCCACUUGGCUCCAUCCUACACUGCAUGGCAGGCACGUGACUCUUAAUUCCAGACAUGAUUCCGUCACCCCGGCUCACCUCGCCCAGUAGAGCGAUCCCAACCCUACGUUCCCAAAGGUGGGUGUCCAGAAGCCCCCUCUCUGCAGCCUGGGGGUCCCCCAGCUGCGCUGGACAGGAGGCUAGCGCCGGAACCCCAAAUACGGCGGCCCUUCCCACAAGAGGUCUGGCCAUCAGGCAGCGAACGCACUGGACGGGACGGGACGGGACGCAGGAAUUUGGAACCGAGUUAAAAAUCAUUCCUCCCCAGGAUUCCUGAGCGAGAUGGCGGUGGGUCCCCGAUGGUCCCCAGUGGUGGAAGGUCCGGCAGCAAGGGGGUCGGCCCAAGCGACGCCUUUAGAAUCAUUUUUGGGAAAGUCCUGGGGGUGGAGGGGUGGGGCGAUGUCACGCCCAAACCCAAGCCCCAGCGAACGCGGAGGAAGCCAGCAGUCCGGCUCCAGGACCUCCGACCCCGCCCCUGUCACUCACCCCAGAG